rnacentral:rRNA from 1 species
GACGAACGCUGGCGGCGUGCUUAACACAUGCAAGUCGAACGGAAAGGCCCUGCUUUUGUGGGGUGCUCGAGUGGCGAACGGGUGAGUAACACGUGCGUAACCUGCCCUUGACUUUGGGAUAACUUCAGGAAACUUGGGAUAAUACCGGAUAGGAGCUCCUGCUGCAUGGUGGGGGUUGGAAAGUUUCGGCGGUUUGGGAUGGACGCGCGGCUUAUCAGCUUGUUGGUGGGGUAGUGGCUUACCAAGGCUUUGACGGGUAGCCGGCCUGAGAGGGUGACCGGCGACAUUGGGACUGAGAGACGGCCCAGACUCCUACGUGAGGCAGCAGUGGGGAAUAUGGCACAAUGGGCGGAAGCCUGAUGCAGCAACGCCGCGUGCGGGAUGACGGCCUUCGGGUUGUAAACCGCUUUCGCCUGUGACGAAGCGUGAGUGACGGUAAUGGGUAAAGAAGCACCGGCUAACUACGUG